AAAAAGACAAACCCUGGUUUCCGUGCCCAAUGUUUGACCGUUCGUCCUAUUUGAAAAAAUUAUGAAAAAAAUUAAAAAGACAAGUCACGCAUAAAAUAUUAAUCAUGUUUUAUCAUCUAACAACAAUAAAAAUACAAAUUAUAAAAAAAUUUCAUAUAAGACGGACAGUCAAAGUUGGACACGCAAAUCUAGGGUUUGCCUUUUU
rnacentral:pre_miRNA from 1 species